GAUAGCUCAGCCGGUAGAGCACCUGACUGUUAAUCAGACUGUCACAGGUUCGAAUCCUGUUC
rnacentral:tRNA from 1 species